rnacentral:lncRNA from 1 species
UUUUCAGGUCGGUUGGUUUAAGGGGGUAAUAUUUUGUUGUUGUCAUAGUUUUUUAAUCGAAUAUGGUUACUUAUAUUAUUAUGCUUUUGGCCAAAGAUGCUCAUCUUGUCAAACGAACCCUCAGAAGGACUACCGCCCAUAACAGGUAAAAGCACUGUAGCCCAAAUGGUUAGCAAUAGCAAAACCAUUCGUGGUACCAGUCAUCCCAAAUAAAAAAAACCUUGAACAGAGGCUUACAAUCCAGGUACUAAGAACUACCUGACUACCUAAUAUAAUAAACCAAAUAGAUUCAAUAGAAAAACGAAAUUGAAAAGCAAAAAACAGAAAACAACCCGUGGAGCCCGAACUUGGGACACCCAAAACAUUAAACGUCGGGAGGGGUUGAGUCUCCUAGUAAGUCUCAGGUGAUGAGCUACUCCUUCUGAUAGGCUCCUUGGGAAAAACCUGUCAUUGCCAAGUUUUUUGGAUGUUCCUGGAUGCCCUUGAUCUGCUUUGUGGGGCUUUCAUACGUCUGUGUCAGUCCUUCUAUUACACUUACAAACUCUUCUUGUUCUUCCAUCUGGUAACCCUUGCAUGCCUCUUGUAAGGCGAGUUCAUGUGCCUCUAAGGCUAGUGUUGUAGUUGCGUCAUUUGCUGGCGUCUUUUGUGAGAACAAAUGAGCUACAUAGUUAUGUUGAAAGACCUGUAAAUUGGGAGGGAGGUAUGGUCGAGAGGUUUUUGCGCUGCCUUAUCUCCUUGAUUAUCAUCGGUGCCAGGAUUAUCCUCGACGAUCUAGUGCUCGGCGCCAAGGGUGUUAUUUCCUUUCCCUGGUGCUCGAAUGGCAUCACUCAUAAGCGCGGAGGCUCCACGCCAGUAUUGAGGAACCGGAUGUUGUAGAACCGACCAAUAUGGCCGAUUCGGCCACAGAGGCGCUGGAGCGAUAAAUGUUUUCCCAUCGUAUUUGACAAACGUUCCAACGAAGUUUCCAAGACCGCGGCCGACCGUUUCGGUGAAGAAGCUUUUUGGGAGAUCGUGAAUCUGCACCCAGAAAUCUGCAAAGUGCAGCGGUAUUGUCGUUGGGUCCUCUCCCUCCUUUCAUCUCGUGUAGGACCAAGAGGAAAUGGUCAAACAGCCAAG